rnacentral:rRNA from 1 species
GCUUACAAAAAGUAGGAGCCCGCAAGGGUGACUGCGUACCUUUUGUAUAAUGGGUCAGCGACUUACAUUCAGUGGCAAGGUUAACCGAAUAGGGAAGCCGUAGAGAAAUCGAGUCCGAAUAGGGCGAAUCAGUCGCUGGGUGUAGACCCGAAACCAAGUGAUCUAUCCAUGGCCAGGAUGAAGGUGCCGUAACAGGUACUGGAGGUCCGAACCGACUAAUGUUGCAAAAUUAGCGGAUGAGCUGUGGAUAGGGGUGAAAGGCUAAACAAACUUGGAAAUAGCUGGUUCUCUCCGAAAACUAUUUAGGUAGUGCCUCAAGUAUUACCUGCGGGGGUAGAGCACUGUUUAGGCUAGGGGGUCAUGGCGACUUACCAAACCUAUGCAAACUCCGAAUACCGCAGAGUACAGCUUGGGAGACAGAGCACCGGGUGCUAACGUCCGGACUCAAGAGGGAAACAACCCAGACCGCCAGCUAAGGUCCCUAAAAUUGGCUAAGUGGGAAACGAAGUGGGAAGGCUAAAACAGU